UACGUAGGUGGCAAGCGUUGUCCGGAAUUAUUGGGCGUAAAGCGCGCGCAGGCGGUCCUUUAAGUCUGAUGUGAAAGCCCACGGCUCAACCGUGGAGGGUCAUUGGAAACUGGGGGGACUUGAGUACAGAAGAGAAGAGUGGAAUUCCACGUGUAGCGGUGAAAUGCGUAGAUAUCGGGAGGAACACCGGUGGCGAAGGCGGCGAUCUGGGUCGAUACUGACGCUGAGGUGCGAAAGCGUGGGGAGCAAACAGG
rnacentral:rRNA from 1 species